AAACUUUCAUCAAUCAUUUCAUUAAUUAUUCACUAUUAAUAACAUCAUCUUCAGUUUCAUUCUUGGUAUUUUCCUUCCUUCCUGUUCUUCAUUUAAUUCAUCAAAAAGUGCCAUUUCAACUAUUAAUGUUAAUUUGAAUAUGUUUGCUUACAAAAAGUGUUGCCGUUUAACGAUAAUGCGUUUGUCCAACAAUUGUCCUCUCAAUCUCAAUCAAAACAUCAGCCGUUUGAAAAGUUUUACGUUAAUUAGUGAUCAGCAAAUUAGGAAAAAAUUUCACUAUUAAAUAAAGAGCAUUUCAGUUGGUAUUAAUAUUGAUGACAAUAGAAAGAUAUUUGGCUUACUGGAGAUCGAGA